rnacentral:misc_RNA from 1 species
GAACGCACAUUGCGCUCUCUGGUAUUCCGGAGAGCAUGCCCGUUUCAGAAUCAGCAAAUCAUCCUCAACUCUUCCAAGCGUUCAUUCGCUUUGGAACAGUUGGAUUUUGGACGUGUUGUUUCCUUCCUUUUCGGCAACGUAGAAGUUGGAAACUCGUCUCAAAUAGAUGGGAAAUGCUGGGGUCACCGUUUGAACGGACCUUGCAAAGCAGCAACAGUGAUCUUCAUUGAUUUUGUUACUCUCUUUGUGCACGGGUCUUUAGGUACCUCGUUUUACAAGGCCUUUCCGAAUCGCCCUUUUUGUACAGCCUUGCUGUCGGGCAACAAUUUAAGAACUUGGUCUGAAAUCGGGCAAGAAAACCCGCUGAACUUAAG